rnacentral:rRNA from 1 species
ACGAACGCUGGCGGCGUGCCUAAUACAUGCAAGUAGAACGCUGAAGGAGGAGCUUGCUUCUCUGGAUGAGUUGCGAACGGGUGAGUAACGCGUAGGUAACCUGCCUGGUAGCGGGGGAUAACUAUUGGAAACGAUAGCUAAUACCGCAUAAGAGUAGAUGUUGCAUGACAUUUGCUUAAAAGGUGCAAUUGCAUCACUACCAGAUGGACCUGCGUUGUAUUAGCUAGUUGGUGAGGUAACGGCUCACCAAGGCAACGAUACAUAGCCGACCUGAGAGGGUGAUCGGCCACACUGGGACUGAGACACGGCCCAGACUCCUACGGGAGGCAGCAGUAGGGAAUCUUCGGCAAUGGACGGAAGUCUGACCGAGCAACGCCGCGUGAGUGAAGAAGGGUUUCGGAUCGUAAAGCUCUGUUGUAAGAGAAGAACGAGUGUGAGAGUGGAAAGUUCACACUGUGACGGUAUCUUACCAGAAAGGGACGGCUAACUACGUA